rnacentral:lncRNA from 10 species
GCACAUCUUGUCAAAUUUCUUAUAUGACAGAUCAUUAACAUGAAUCAGAGAAAUUCAACAACUUAGCCACCGACUACUCAAUAUUCCCAUUGCCUUACAUACACAAAAGGAAUAAGAAGAAACAUUUCAACCAACACUCAAGUUAACAGGGGCCAGGUGCGGCGGCUCACGCCUGUAAUCCCAGCACUUUGAGAGACUCUGUUUUGUUUUGAUUUUUAACAGAACUUAGGUUUGUGUUCUGGACGUUAAGUGAGAGUGACCUUCAAUUAUGUUCCAGAACGGGGCACCGCAUGCAGUGCGCGUGCCGGAGGAGCAGGAGGAAAGCUAGCAACUGCUUCUCAGUGUUACUAUCAGAUAGCAAUACUAAGGCAGAGGGAGAAGGGAAGAUAACCUUUUCC